UUCAGAAAAUUUUAGAAACAAAUUAAAGCAAUAAAACAAAUCAAGAGGAUCAAAAGUGAAAAUAUCCCACUGGGAUAAAACAUGCGGAUUUGAUCGGGUUUUUGAGCCGGGUCACACGGGCUAUUGGGUACAAGCCUGCAAAUACACCACCAAAACCCCCAAAAUUAGCAUUUAACCUAUCCUAAAACAGAUCAGCAAAAAGCCUAAACUGCUCAAUGCUGCCGCCUUCAUGCUUUUCCCACAGUACAAUGACACCGCCGAUCGAAAGGUGAUCGUGGGAGCAUGCACGGGGAAGGCGCGCAAGGGGCGGCGAUGAGCGUGGCUGCUGUUGGGAGCAGCAACUGGUUUUUUUUCUGCUUAGGAUUUCUGUUAUUUUUUUAUUUUUUUGGGCUAGGUUUAGUUUGGGCUUAGUGUUUGGGUCUUGGGCUGGGGUCAAUUGGGUAUUGGGUUUUAAUUUUAUUGGGCUUGUUUAUUGGUUUGGGCCCGGGCAUUAUUGGGUUUGUACAAUUCAAUUUUGACCCAAGUAAAAAAUCUUUUCAUUGGAUUAAAUAGAGCGAGGUUUGCAAGCCGUCCGACUUUGGAA